AGCGCAUCCCGUUUCGCGGGGCGGGUCGUUGCGCGUUAGAGCCACCGAGUAGUGGCCGCAGUUAGUACGGAGAGCCGCCGAGUGGUGGUUCAGGAGGGAAAAUCUGCCAAGCUCUCAAAGGUCAGGCAAGCGAGAGGUUUACCGAGUGGGAAAGUCGGGCGAUUAAAAAGAUAUACCAAGUCCAAAAUACUGCCGGCAACAUACCCGGGACCCCGAGUAAGUCGGGGAAGAAGUUCGGCGGGUGUUUUUCCAGCCAACUCAACUUUGACCUAAUUUUACCUGCCCGAGCUCACGGGUAGGCUGCGGUUAAUUUUUGGACUUUGCGGAUUUACUUUAAUCAAUUCACAGGAAGUUACCUGCCAAAUUGCCUGGGCUCCCGGGUAGGCUAUAGUUGACUUUUGGACUUGGCGGAUUUUUUUAAACUUACUUCCCCGACUAUAACCUGGGAUUUUCCCGACCAUGGCUCACGGGUAGGUUAGUUGUGAUUUUUGGACUUGGUGAAAUUUCUACUUUCCUGCCAAGUCUAGCCUACCUGGGAGCCCAGGCAAGUCGGGCAGGUAAAUUCCGCCAACUCGGCAGGGAACUGAUUGCAAAUUAAUCUAACCAAAUCUGCCAAGUCCACAAGUUAACUAUAGCCUACCCGGUAGACCUGGGUGUUUCCCCCGUGAUUUCCUGUGAAAACAAAAAAGUUAGGUGUUUUAGUACUUAAUUUAUGUAGGUAUGGGUUGAUUUUUUUGUUUUCUUAUAUAAAUAAAAUUUGCGGAAAAUAAAAAAUAAACCACGAGAGCCCGGUAGCGGAGGCGAGCCCUUAAGGUAGUCGGUAAGUAUAUAAGAGAGAGGGCUGGACACGCGUCGCGUCGCGUAUUUCCACCGCACCUAAUACUUUUGGCUUUAGGGUAGGCUGCUUGUUUAGAGGCGCGCUGAAUUAGAUGGUCUCUUAAGUGAGGGGAUUUCUCUGGUGGCAGUUGCCUGUAAUCCGGGAGCCCGUGGUGGUAAAGUCAGCUAUAAGGCUUGUGUGUGUGUGGGUGCGCGGGUGUGUGUGCCGGGGCCCUGUAAGUCCCGACCAGGAACCCUACAGGUCAC
rnacentral:rRNA from 1 species